UUCCUAGUGGCUUAGAUGGUAAAGAAUCCACCUGCAAUGUGGGACACCUGGGUUCGAUCUCUCGGUCAGGAAG
rfam:Ovis aries breed Texel chromosome 8, whole genome shotgun sequence.